GAUGAACGCUGGCGGCGUGCCUAAUACAUGCAAGUCGAACGCUGGAGAUCUAGCUUGCUAGCUCGAAGGAGUGGCGAACGGGUGAGUAAUACAUAAGCAACCUACCCACGAAGACUGGGAUAAUCUCUGGAAACGGGGACUAAUACCGGAUAGGUAAUCGGAAGGCAUCUUCCGGUUAUUAAAGGUUAAAAACACUGGUGGAUGGGCUUAUGGCGCAUUAGUUAGUUGGUGAGGUAACGGCCCACCAAGACGAUGAUGCGUAGCCGGCCUGAGAGGGUGAACGGCCACAUUGGGACUGAGACACGGCCCAGACUCCUACGGGAGGCAGCAGUAGGGAAUUUUCGGCAAUGGGGGCAACCCUGACCGAGCAACGCCGCGUGAGUGAAGACGGCCUUCGGGUUGUAAAGCUCUGUUGUAAGGGAAGAACGGUAGAUAGAGAAUAUCUAAGUGACGGUACCUUACCAGAAAGCCACGGCUAACUACGUG
rnacentral:rRNA from 1 species